rnacentral:rRNA from 1 species
UACGGAGGAUCCGAGCGUUAUCCGGAUUUAUUGGGCGUAAAGGGCUCGUAGGCGGUUUGUCACGUCAGGAGUGAAAACUCGGGGCUUAACCCCGAGCCUGCUUCUGAUACGGGCAGACUAGAGGUAUGCAGGGGAGAACGGAAUUCCUGGUGUAGCGGUGAAAUGCGCAGAUAUCAGGAGGAACACCGGUGGCGAAGGCGGUUCUCUGGGCAUUACCUGACGCUGAGGAGCGAAAGUGUGGGGAGCGAACAGG